AUGUGCCGGAACCUGACUUCUAUUUCGUCUAACUUCUGGUGGGGAGAAGCAAAUGGGGAGAGGAAGGUGCACUGGCUUGCAUGGAAAAAGAUGUGUAGGGCUAAGAAAGAAGGAGGAAUGGGCUUUCGGGAUCCAGAAGCUUUUAACCAAGCUCUGCUGGCCAAACAAGCCUGUCGCGUGCUGCAGUACCCAGAUUCUUUGUGUGCUAGGGUGCUCAAGGCAAGGUAUUUCCCCCAUGGAUCAAUCUUGAAUGCCACCUGCCCUGCUGGCGGCUCGUUCACUUUCAGAAGUAUUAUUCAUGGUCGGGAGCUGUUGCGUGAGGGACUAGUGUGGAGGAUUGGAGAUGGCACAUCGAUAAAAAUCCACCAUGAUAACUGGCUCCUGCGCCAGGGAAGCCUUAAGCCACUUGGGCAGCAGUACAUUGCAGGGAUCACUCAUGUGCGCUACCCUGAAUGA
rnacentral:rRNA from 1 species